rnacentral:lncRNA from 1 species
AGGAGGAAAUCCUAUGUGUCUGCUCCCAGAGCUGCCACAACCCAUCUUCCCACAACUCGGAACUUGGAAAAAGGAACCCAGGACACGACUUUGCUUUUCUUUUGGACCUAGUUGAUACAAGUUAACAGGAUAUGCUUCUGGCGUGUUUCUGGAUUCUAAGGGUAGAACCAGCAUGAAACUAGUCAGUCCAAGUAUUUCUAAAGAUCCACAGACACAGUUCUCCUAGAUUUGGGAAGCCUAGAGAUAUUAGCACAAUAAUUAUGGCCCAACAACUUUUAAAAGCAUUUCCAUUGCACAGUGAAAGAAAACCACAAACUCCUUGUUUAAUAACUCGGAUCAUGUGCUUUUAACGAGAGGAAAAGGUCAAGUCUGAAGCAACUGAUAUGGAACUGCCAGAGUAGGAGUUGAAAAUAUUCCUAAACUGCUGGAGGAUACACCUCUGAUAGCUUGAGACAAAUAUCCUCUUGAUUAUUGUUUCACCAUAUUUGUCUUUGCUCACAGAGAACCAUUUUGACCUGUGGUUUAGCCUCCCAGGUGAUUGAACAAUAGCGGUGAUCUGAGGCAGACCCUCUGUGACGGAUAACAGAAAAGAAAAUUGAGGAUCAGAAAGUACACACAAUUUGCAAAAAUCAUGGGAAAGAAUAUUGAUUGAACAUCUACUCAAGAACUGCAAAACAGAGAUUACCUGACCUAAAGCAUUUAUAUUGCCAAUCAUGUUGGAGAGUCCAUGUGGUGAUUUCUGAAAAUGAGAUGUGAGAAAGAAGAGGAUAAUUUAAGUCUAGACCUACAGAUUGUGCUGAUAAAGUGAUGAAGAGCUACAAUCUUCUGAGUCAUUUCAUUGUAUAAGUGCAAUAAAGGGUAUGUAAUAAAUUUGUAUGUUCAUA